UACGGGGGGGGCAAGCGUUGUUCGGAAUUACUGGGCGUAAAGGGCGCGUAGGCGGCCGAUCAAGUCAGAUGUGAAAGUCCUGGGCUUAACCUGGGGACUGCAUUUGAUACUGAUUGGCUUGAAUUCGGGAGAGGAUAGCGGAAUUCCCAGUGUAGAGGUGAAAUUCGUAGAUAUUGGGAAGAACACCGGUGGCGAAGGCGGCUAUCUGGACCGACAUUGACGCUGGGGCGCGAAAGCGUGGGGAGCAAACAGG
rnacentral:rRNA from 1 species